rnacentral:rRNA from 1 species
AUUGAACGCUGGCGGAAUGCUUUACACAUGCAAGUCGAACGGUAGAGGGGGCAACCCCUCGAGAGUGGCGAACGGGUGAGUAAUAUAUCGGAACGUGCCCAGUCGUGGGGGAUAACGUAGCGAAAGUUACGCUAAUACCGCAUACGAUCUAAGGAUGAAAGCGGGGGACUCGCAAGAGCCUCGCGCGAUUGGAGCGGCCGAUAUCAGAUUAGGUAGUUGGUGGGGUAAAGGCUCACCAAGCCAACGAUCUGUAGCUGGUCUGAGAGGACGACCAGCCACACUGGAACUGAGACACGGUCCAGACUCCUACGGGAGGCAGCAGUGGGGAAUUUUGGACAAUGGACGCAAGUCUGAUCCAGCCACUCCGCGUGCAGGAUGAAGGCCCUCGGGUUGUAAACUGCUUUUGUACGGAACGAAAAGGUUUCUAUUAAUACUAGGAGCUCAUGACGGUACCGUAAGAAUAAGCACCGGCUAACUACGUGCCAGCCGCCGCGGUAA